UCUUGAAACAAAAAGCAGGGCUGAGGCUCCCGCUGCAAUGACGUCAGAUGACCUUGUGCGUGGCGGGGCCCGCGCUCCAUCUCACCCCGUUGUUCUGGGGAAGCGGUAGCGAUAUCACUGCUGGAGCGCGGUGAAAUAUAUUCCGCGUGAGCCAGGUGGACAGGAUGUAGAACACGGAGAAGAAACAAGGAAAGACCGAAUUAAAGGGGAACAAUUUAAGGGGGUCUACAGAAACCGACACAAGAGAAGAAGAGAGAGGAUUAUUCCACAAUAGCCUGCAUCAACCAAGCAGACCUGUUCUCAGAACACUCUUUGCAAGUUCCAACAUGCUCUAAUUAUAACAGAUGAGUAACAGUGUGGCUAGGGGACGCCUUAACCCCCUCGGCUUCCUCACAAUAGCCCCCAACAGCAGCUCGGACACAACUGCCCCUUCCUCCAGCCCUACCCUACCCCCAGGAAACCUGCAACGCCCACUCAGAAACUGGCUGACGGGCCAUUCUGCUGGCCACCUUUCUGGGCACUCUUAAUUGGGCUGGAAUGAGAAGAUCGUUUUUUUCUGCACCAUGCCAGCACCAGGAACUGGCUGCGUGAACGACUGAAAAUGCGUGGACUGGUCUCGAAUUUUAAAAUGUCAGGAUAUCGGUAUUAGGUUUUAUUAUUUAAAAACCCCGUAGCAUUUUAAAUGUGUUUGUAUCCUUGUUGUCAAAGAGACGUGAAGGAUUUGGGUGGACCUACAUACACGUGUUAGAUUCACCUGAACCUAUAAAGGUAGCACAAUUAACGAUUACAAUGAUACAGCAUCGUAAUGUGAUUUAGCUUUGAAGAAAAUGCUCUCUGCCAAUGGCUGCUUUAAUAAUACAAGUCACCACCAAACCUCCAUCGUAUGCCCCUUUCACUGGGCCAGUCACCGCACUUGGCAGAGGUGGCUCAAGAGUUGCAUUGUUGUGUCUAUAUUAUACCGAUUCCGUGACAACACUGACAUUUCCGAGCAAAACCAGAGAGAUGCAGGUUGGAGAAAAGGCCAAGCUUUCCUAGCAAAUCAUUCAGUUUGAGAAAUCUGUCAGGGAACCCCCUCAAAAUAUUGAGUGAACUGCCUUCUAUUGACUGUAUUUAAACAUACAUACGUAUUUUUUUUAAAACCACCCUGAAACCAGUCUUGAGAGAACCCUUAUUGUCACUCCUAGUUUCUCAUCUACUCUGCAUUUAAACCAUUUACUUAAAUACUCUGCAGCAAGAAAAUAAAACCUCGUCUUAAAUAUCUGCAGCAAAAUAGUUAAACCUAAUUUGUGUUUAUCAUAACAAAAAUACAGUCAGACUCGUAUGCAUACAGUAUGUAUAUGGCUGUAUAU